AGAUCGAACUAUAGAGUUUGAUCCUGGCUCAGAUUGAACGCUGGCGGAAUGCUUUACACAUGCAAGUCGAACGGUAACAGGUCUUCGGAUGCUGACGAGUGGCGAACGGGUGAGUAAUAUAUCGGAACGUGCCCAGUCGUGGGGGAUAACGCAGCGAAAGCUGUGCUAAUACCGCAUACGAUCUACGGAUGAAAGCGGGGGAUCGCAAGACCUCGCGCGAUUGGAGCGGCCGAUAUCAGAUUAGCUAGUUGGUGGGGUAAAAGCCCACCAAGGCGACGAUCUGUAGCUGGUCUGAGAGGACGACCAG
rnacentral:rRNA from 1 species